GACAUCCAGAGAACUUAGCAGAGAUGCUUUGUGCCUUCGGGAACUCUGAGACAGGUGCUGCAUGGCUGUCGUCAGCUCGUGUUGUGAAAUGUUGGGUUAAGUCCCGCAACGAGCGCAACCCUUAUCCUUUGUUGCCAGCGGUUCGGCCGGGAACUCAAAGGAGACUGCCGGUGAUAAACCGGAGGAAGGUGGGGAUGACGUCAAGUCAUCAUGGCCCUUACGGCCAGGGCUACACACGUGCUACAAUGGCGCAUACAAAGAGAAGCGACCUCGCGAGAGCAAGCGGACCUCAUAAAGUGCGUCGUAGUCCGGAUUGGAGUCUGCAACUCGACUCCAUGAAGUCGGAAUCGCUAGUAAUCGUAGAUCAGAAUGCUACGGUGAAUACGUUCCCGGGCCUUGUACACACCGCCCGUCACACCAUGGGAGUGGGUUGCAAAAGAAGUAGGUAGCUUAACCUUCGGGAGGGCGCUUACCACUUUGUGAUUCAUGACUGGGGUGAAGUCGUAACAAGGUAGGCGUAGCGAG
rnacentral:rRNA from 1 species